rnacentral:rRNA from 1 species
GACGAACGCUGGCGGUGUGCUUCACACAUGCAAGUCGAACGGGGUAGCAAUACCUAGUGGCGGACGGGUGAGUAACGCGUGGGAAUCUGCCUUAAGAUGGGGGAUAGCAAGCCGAAAGGCUUAUUAAUACCGCAUAUGUAUUUAUCCAGACAUGGGUAUCUAUGAAAGGAGUAAUCCGUCUUAAGAUGAGCCCGCGUCCGAUUAGCUAGUUGGUAGGGUAAAAGCCUACCAAGGCGACGAUCGGUAGGUGGUCUGAGAGGAUGAUCACCCACAAUGGGACUGAGACACGGCCCAUACUCCUACGGGAGGCAGCAGUGGGGAAUUUUGUGCAAUGGGCGAAAGCCUGACACAGCGACACCGCGUGGAUGAAGAAGCCCUUUGGGGUGUAAAAUCCUGUCGGCUGGAACGAAAAAAAUGACGGUACCAGCAGAGGAAGCAUCGGCUAACUACGUGCCAGCAGCCGCGGUAAGACGUAGGAUGCGAGCGUUGUCCGGAUUUAUUGGGCGUAAAGAGUUCGUAGGCGGUUUGUUAAGUCUGAUGUUAAAGAUCUGGGCUCAACCCGGAGAGUGCAUUGGAUACUGGCA